rnacentral:misc_RNA from 1 species
UUGAGUUGAGUUGAGUAGAGUAGAGAGACUAAUUUAAUUAAAAACUGCCUACUACUUAAUAUGCCCAUAUGUAUACAUGCAUGAUAUCAUGUUGUGCAUUGUAUCGCGUGUGCAUUCUAUGUAUUCUUCAAAUUGUCUUAUAUAUAUAUAUAUACAUACAUCUGAUUUCAAAUUGGUAAUGUGAUACAAAAUUUUCUUGCUUGCUGAUCCUUGAUUAAUUUUAUCCUUUUUUUUUAAUGUAAAAGGAUGUAAAUUGAGGCCUUGGGUUCAAAUCACUGUUAUUUUAAGCCGUACAGAUAUCAAGUGUUUUUCCAAUGAGGCGAAGCAUGGCAAACCUACAAUACCAACACUAUUCGCAAUGUGAAAUUCUAAGGAUUUUAACUUCUAUAUUUUUUAUUAUAGUUCCCAAACUUACUUUGAUCUUCAUUAUCAGUGGUGCUAUAUUUUUCUUUAAUUUCUUCUGUUUGUACCCUAAUCUGGCGUCGCUCAUUUUAUGUAAUGACUCAAUAUUAGGUCUGGUUUGCUAUUAUAGCUGCUAUUGAGAAAAACACUUCUUAAAUAUAUUAGUUAGAGAGGAUUAGAAAUUAAAUUUGAUAUUUUUAGCUAUAAAACACUAAAAUAACAAUUAACAAAACAACUUUUUUCAACAUGUAGAAUGAUACUUUUUUUCUGAAACACACUUUUUUGGCCCUGAAACUUUGCCAAAAGGGGUCCAUCUGGGGUUCCCCUGUAACUUGUGUUUAUCUUUUGGUGCAUCUAGGUUGAGAACAAGGGUCUACUUGUGUGUCUAGGUGAGAAAUUGUAAUAAUUCACAAUUCUGUAUCUCAUAUUAUACUUGCCCGUUAAUUGCCAGGUUCUUUAAGAUACAUUUGUGUGAAAUAUUUAGGAGUGACAAUAA